UUAAGGGUGGGGCCGGGAUUCAAACCAAGGGGUCAAUGUAGUGGUCAGGGCCACAGGCCUCAGAGACAGAAAGAUCUGGCUAGGGUAGAUUUGGGACUCUGCCCAGGAUUGGCUGUGACCUCGGGCAUGCUAUUCUUUACCUCGCUAAGCCUCAGUUUCCGCAUCUGUAAAAACAAAGUGGCAAUGCUCCCCAGAGAGGUAGCCAGGUUUUUUGGAGCCUGACGAUUAAGCCACUUGGUGGGUGGGGGGUGUCGGUAAGGGGUGGAAAGGGCCUCUUUCGGAAUGAGAAUACAAAAUUACAAAUUCAAAAUUGCACCCAGGACCUUGGAAGGAGUCCCGUGGAAGGGAGGGCCUGGACAAAUCUGUCUCAGACGCCACCAGUUAGCUGAGAGAUCAUUGGAGCAAAGCCUUUGGCCCAUGAGAUGAUGGUACAGGGAGCAGUGUGGCUUGAGUAAAAUGCUAUAAUUUUGAAGGAAGGAGGAAAUCUUGGCCUGUUCAUCUGUCACUGAAGCAGAGAUAAUGACAGAGCUUGGAACACUAGAGAAACCCCCUCAAGGCCUUCUUUAGCUACGGAGUUCAAUCCUGAAUGUCAUGUGCGACCUUAGGCAAAUCACGUGCUCUCCAGGCGCCAGUGUCCUACCCAGUGAAAUGUGGCUGGGGGUUGUUACAGUCUCUGCCUUUUCUGAAAGAACCCUCACGGCUCUCUCCCUGGAGCUCCACAAAAGCUAAGAAGCUUCUGGAGGUGGAGCAGACCUCCUCAUCACCCAGAGCCCUCUCUCGGAAGCAGUCAUGCCCGUGACAAAGAGUGCCGGGGGCCCCCAGGGAGCCGUUGACCUCAAACUGGACCUCCGGUACCCACCCAAAAGUGCCAAGAGGCUGCACAGCAAGGACUCCAGUUUCUGGGAUGGACACCCUUCCGAGUCGCCAGGCUUAGAGAAAACCACAGGCAUAACAGCAUUCCAGACCUUGGUUCACCUGGUAAAAGGCAACAUGGGCACAGGGAUCCUGGGACUUCCCCUGGCUGUGAAGAAUGCAGGCAUCCUGAUGGGCCCGCUCAGUUUGCUGGCAAUGGGCUUCAUCGCCUGCCACUGUAUGCACAUCCUGGUCAAGUGUGCCCGGCGCUUCUGCCACAGGCUUAACAAGCCCUUCAUGGACUAUGGGGACACAGUACUGCACGGACUGGAAGCCAGCCCCAGCGCCUGGCUCCGGAGCCAUGCCCACUGGGGAAGGCAUAUCGUGAGCUUCUUCCUUAUAGUCACCCAGCUGGGCUUCUGCUGUGUGUACAUCGUGUUUCUGGCUGAUAAUUUAAAACAGGUAGUGGAAGCAGUUAAUGGCACCACCAACAACUGCCAUUACAAUGAGACAGUGAUUCUGACGCCCACCAUGGACUCUCGACUCUACAUGCUUGCCUUCCUGCCCUUCCUGGUGCUGCUGGUCCUCAUCCGGAACCUCAGGGUCUUGACCGUCUUCUCCAUGUUGGCCAACAUCAGCAUGCUGGUCAGCUUGAUCAUCAUCACCCAGUAUAUUGCCCAGGAAAUUCCAGACCCCAGCCGGUUACCACUGGUAGCAAGUUGGAAGACCUAUCCUCUGUUCUUUGGAACAGCCAUUUUUUCAUUUGAAAGCAUUGGCGUGGUUCUUCCCCUGGAAAACAAGAUGAAGGAUGCCCGCCGCUUCCCAGCCAUCCUGUCUUUGGGAAUGUCCAUCAUCACUGCCCUGUACAUUGGCAUCGGGGCCCUGGGCUACCUGCGGUUUGGAAACGACAUCAAGGCCAGCAUAACCCUUAACCUACCCAACUGCUGGCUGUACCAGUCGGUCAAGCUCUUGUACAUCGUGGGUAUCCUGUGCACUUACGCCCUGCAGUUCUACGUCCCUGCAGAAAUCAUCAUCCCCUUUGCCACCUCGCAGGUGUCAAAGCGCUGGGCACUGCCUCUGGACCUGUCCAUCCGCCUCGCCAUGGUCUGCCUGACAUGCACCUUGGCCAUCCUCGUCCCCCGCCUGGACCUGGUCCUCUCCCUGGUGGGGUCCGUGAGCAGCAGCGCCCUGGCCCUCAUCAUCCCGCCCCUCCUGGAGAUCACCACCUACUACUCGGAGGGCAUGAGCCCCCUCACCAUCGCCAAGGACGCCCUGAUCAGCAUCCUGGGCUUUGCAGGCUUUGUGGCAGGAACCUACCAGGCCCUGGACGAGCUGAUCCUCUCGGGAGGCCCUCUCACCUUUUCCAACUCCACUGUUUUUAUUCAGUGAGCAUGGCACUGUGCUGUACCCACCAGCGCCUGACUUAUACUGAUGUGGAUAUCUUUUAUAUGCACUAUCUUUAUUUUACCGCUUUAUCCUUUUUCUGGGCCAAGUCGUGGUGAAACAAGCAAAGACUCACUGGCUACAGGGUCUAGAUGGUAAUUUAAAAGUUUGGUUCUGUUAUUCCUUUUCUUUCCAUCUCUAGCUUUCCAUUAAGUCGAGAGCUCUCCCAUGGAAGGCUCUUGAUUCCAUCCAACUUUUGGGCAAUUCACGUCGCCUUGAGUGGUGCUAGGCACGAAGAAGCCACCAGGGGGAAACCAAGUGACAGCAACUGGCAGAAGGACGUGCAGCUGGCUAAGGCUGACCCUGAUCUGGUAGACCAAGGGUUUCCCCUUUUCCAGAUCUGUUCAAUGAGCAAAGACUAGGGGACAGAACCUAUAAUCCAACAAGGUAUGCAUGGCUCCUGUGUCAAAAUGGGUAGGGCAAAGAGGUCCAACGUUGAUGUGCCAACGUGCCAAUGGCAUGGGGAAGUUGAUGUGCCAAUGGCAUGGGGUAGGGGAAUGGAUAAUGCCAUUACAGUAUUUGGCAUUAUUUACCUCUUAACUCUUGCAACAAGCAUUCUCCCUACGGUGUGUCAAGCAUAGUUCAAGGUUCUUAUAGUAGGUUGCAAAAAUGGCCACAGAUUCCUCUUGACAAUGUGACUUUGCAGCUCCUCCCAUCAAGAGGUGAAAUCCAUGCCUCUGCUCCUUGAAUCUGGUCUUGCCCUUGUGACUUAUUUGGGCCCGUUGAACAUCAGUAAAUGUGACGCAAGCAGAGAUUUGGUGAUGGCUUGUGCAUCAGGACUUUCAUUUCUCCCUACGCUAUGGGGUGAAGAUCCACCAGUGGAAGAAGCCUGAGCUAGCCUACUGGAGGAUGAGAAGCCAUGUUGCACAGAAACGAAUCAUCCCAGUUGAGCCCAUCCCUCAGAUCAACCAGCCUGCCAACUUCUGACACAUGAGGGAAGCCUCCUAGACUACAUCCAGCUCCAGUCAAGCUGACCCAAGUCGUGGUGCCAUCAAACUGGAUUUUGAGUAAAACUUGGGUCUCCUGACACUGAACCUUUCCCUCCUUCCACUCCGACCUGCCUCCUUGACAGUCCUGGGCCUUUUCUCAUGUCUGCGCUCGGCUGACAGCAAGAGCCAGCCAACCUGAAACACCAGCUCAACCUUCCAGGUAGCGUUUGCUCCUUCAUCCCUAAAAUUACUAAAACUGGGAAAGUGCCCCCCAAUAACUGAGUAGAUAUUAGAGGCAGGUCUAUAGUCCCAAGGGAGAGAGUUUCCCAUUGGAUUUCCUGUAAUUUAUGGGAAUGACCCAUGCUUGUUUCAGUCUUCGUUUUAAGACGGUGUUUGAAAGGCCCUUUCUUGCUUCUUUUCAACCGUGAUCCUCCCUAUAUGGCCUAGGGAAGAUAUUGGGGGAGUGUCUGCCCUAAUUCCUAAAUCCUGGUCUGCUCCUUUUGUGUGUUACUUUCUACCUGCUAGACUUCAAGAAGGUACUUCAUGAGCAGUAGCCUUGCUCAGGUGGGAGGAGGGCCAGCAGGCCACACCCAGAUCCCAUAGUCUGUCUGCAGAGUUUCUGUUGGGAGGCAGGACACCCUUAGCCUAUGCAAUGGUACACAACCUACCUGGCCAGGGAGCUGGCUCAUCACUUCCACCCUGUACUUCUCUGUUUCAUCACCAGACCCAAAGCCCUCCCACUGACUGGCCCAGAGCUGCGGCAAAGCGUUCUUCCUUUCCCUGAGCUCGCCUCUCCCACCAUAUUCCACCAUCACCCCAACAAACCUUGCUAAGUUUAAGAUUGUCCUGUUAUUAAAGAACUCUCACACUCCUUGUCCAGGCACAAGCCCCUACAAUGUAAGAUGUUCAGGCUAAUCUUAUCACUUAGGCUAAUCUGGCUAAAGCUCAACUUUGCAAAGAAAAAAAAAAUUUAGGGGCGCCUGGGUGG